rnacentral:rRNA from 1 species
GAUGAACGCUGGCGGCGUGCCUAAUACAUGCAAGUCGAGCGAACAGACGAGGAGCUUUCUCCUCUGAUGUUAGCGGCGGACGGGCGAGUAACACGUGGAUAACCUACCUAUAAUACUGGGAUGACUUCGGGAAACCGGAGCUACUACCGGAUAACAUGUUCAACCGCAUGGUUCAACAGUGAUAGACACUCUUGCUGUCACUUAUAGCUGGAUCCGCGCCGCAUUAGCUAGUUGGUAAGGUAACGGCUUACCAAGGCAACGAUGCGUAGCCGACCUGAGAGGGUGAUCGGCCACACUGGAACUGAGACACGGUCCAGACUCCUACGGGAGGCAGCAGUAGGGAAUAUUCGGCAAUGGGCGAAAGCCUGACGGAGCAACGCCGCGUGAGUGAAGAAGGUCUUCGGGUCGUAAAGCUCUUUUAUUGGGGAAGAACAAAAGCAUAAUAAACUAUGCCCGUUUUGACGGUACCUAAUGAAAAAGCCACGGCUAACUUCGUG